rnacentral:lncRNA from 1 species
AGUUUGAUUCAAGCAUCAAGAAAGAGUCCAAUAGGACUAGGACUCCUCCUCCAAUUAGGAGACAUCUAAUCUAAAUCAAUUAGGCUCCAAAUAAGAUUUGAUUUUUCAUCUAUUUGAGUCUAAUCAAGUUUUAAUAUGAUUAGGAUUUAUUGAUAUUUUAAAUUAAUUUAAAACAGCCAUCUAACAAAGAGUCCUAUGUUCUUAAAAAAAACUUCCUUUCAUGCGCCAAAAAC